GACACAUGGAGCUCAUCUCAAGGACCCCUCAGUUCUUCUCUCUGAAACUUGUACCCUUUGUAGAACCAAGUCUGUGAAUCCAGAAGUGUUUGAGGGGACUCUAG
rnacentral:miRNA from 1 species